rnacentral:rRNA from 1 species
ACGGAAGGCAGCAGUAGGGAAUAUUGCACAAUGGGGGAAACCCUGAUGCAGCGACGCCGCGUGAGUGAAGAAGUAUUUCGGUAUGUAAAGCUCUAUCAGCAGGAAAGAAAAUGACGGUACCUGACUAAGAAGCCCCGGCUAACUACGUGCCAGCAGCCGCGGUAAUACGUAGGGGGCAAGCGUUAUCCGGAUUUACUGGGUGUAUAGGGAGCGUAGACGGCUUUGCAAGUCUGAAGUGAAAGCCCGGGGCUCAACCCCGGAACUGCUUUGGAAACUGUAGAGCUAGAGUGCAGGAGAGGUAAGUGGAAUUCCUAGUGUAGCGGUGAAAUGCGUAGAUAUUAGGAAGAACACCGGAGGCGAAGGCGGCUUACUGGACAGAAACUGACGCUCAGGCACGAAGGCGUGGGGAGCAAACAGGAUUAGAUACCCUGGUA